rnacentral:rRNA from 1 species
GAUGAACGCUGGCGGCGUGCCUAAUACAUGCAAGUCGAGCGAACGGACGAGAAGCUUGCUUCUCUGAUGUUAGCGGCGGACGGGUGAGUAACACGUGGAUAACCUACCUAUAAGACUGGGAUAACUUCGGGAAACCGGAGCUAAUACCGUAUAAUAUUUUGAACCGCAUGGUUCAAGAGUGUAAGACGGUCUUGCUGUCACUUAUAGAUGGAUCCGCGCUGCAUUAGCUAGUUGGUAAGGUAACGGCUUACCAAGGCAACGAUGCAUAGCCGACCUGAGAGGGUGAUCGUCCACACUGGAAGUGAGACACGGUACAGACUCCUAAGGGAGGCAGCAGUAGGGAAUCUUACGCAAUAGGCGGAAACCUGACGGAACAACGCCGCGUGAGUGACGAAGGUCUUCGGAUCGUAAAACUCUGUUAUUAGGGAAGAACAAAUGUGUAAGUAACAGAGCACAUAUUGACGGUACCUAAUCAGAAAGCCACGGCUAACUACGUG